CUGGGCGGGCGAUUGCGGGAGAUUUCGCGGCUGCAUGGGGUGCAGGUGGUCGGAGGUUCAAAUCCUCUCGCCCCGACCA
rnacentral:tRNA from 4 species